rnacentral:rRNA from 1 species
AGUGAACGCUGGCGGUAGGCCUAACACAUGCAAGUCGAACGGCAGCACAGUAAGAGCUUGCUCUUACGGGUGGCGAGUGGCGGACGGGUGAGGAAUACAUCGGAAUCUACUUUUUCGUGGGGGAUAACGUAGGGAAACUUACGCUAAUACCGCAUACGACCUACGGGUGAAAGCAGGGGACCUUCGGACCUUGCGCGAUUGAAUGAGCCGAUGUCGGAUUAGCUAGUUGGCGGGGUAAAGGCCCACCAAGGCGACGAUUCGUAGCUGGUCUGAGAGGAUGAUCAGCCACACUGGAACUGAGACACGGUCCAGACUCCUACGGGAGGCAGCAGUGGGGAAUAUUGGACAAUGGGCGCAAGCCUGAUCCAGCCAUACCGCGUGGGUGAAGAAGGCCUUCGGGUUGUAAAGCCCUUUUGUUGGGAAAGAAAAGCAGCAGGUUAAUACCCCGCUGUUCUGACGGUACCCAAAGAAUAAGCACCGGCUAACUUCGUG